UGAGUUGGCUAGAUGAUCGCUGCUUUAUCGUUGUAUGUUUUGUUUUGGCAAAAGGUAUACGGAUAAAGGGGAGGAAAGUCCGGGCUCCACAGGGCAGGGUGCCAGCUAACGGCUGGGAGGCGUGAGCCUACGACAAGUGCAGCAGAGAGAAGACCGCCGAUGACUCUUUCGAGAGAACAGGUAAGGCUGAAAGGGUGCGGUAAGAGCGCACCGGACCACUGGUGACAGUUGGUUGCAGGGUAAACUCCACCCGGAGCAAGACCAAAUAGGGUUCCUUAUGGCGUGGCCCACGUUGGAACCGGGUAGGUUGCUUGAGCCUUAAAGCGAUUUAAGGCCUAGACGAAUGAUUAUCCUUUUCUUAGGAAAAGAACAGAACCCGGCUUAUACGGCUGACUCACCUA
rnacentral:RNase_P_RNA from 1 species